rnacentral:rRNA from 1 species
UACAUAGACUGCAAGCGUUACUCGGAUUCACUGGGCGUAAAGGGCGCGCAGGCGGACCGAUGUGUCGGAUGUGAAACCCCAGGGCUCAACCCUGGGACUGCGUCCGAAACUGUCGGUCUAGGGACUCGGAGGGGCUAGUGGAAUUCCUGGUGGAGCAGUGAAAUGCGUAGAUAUCAGGAGGAACACCAACGGCGAAGGCAGCUAGCUGGACGAGAUCCGACGCUCAGGCUCGAAAGUAUGGGGAGCAAAAAGG